rnacentral:misc_RNA from 1 species
GAUGAAGAACGUAGCGAAAUGCGAUAAGUAGUGUGAAUUGCAGAAUUCAGUGAAUCAUCGAAUCUUUGAACGCACAUUGCGCCCCUUGGUAUUCCGAGGGGCAUGCCUGUUCGAGCGUCAUUAUAACCCCUCAAGCUUAGCUUGGUGUUGGGGCUUGCUGUAAUAGAGCAGCCCUUAAAAUCAGUGGCGGUGCCAUUAGGCUCUAAGCGUAGUAAUUCUUCUCGCUAUAGGGUUCUGGUGGAUGCUUGCCAUUAACCUCUAAUUUUCUAUGGUUGACCUCGGAUCAGGUAGGGAUACCCGCUGAACUUAAGCAUAUCAAUAAGCGGAGGA